GAACUGCGAUAAGUAAUGUGAAUUGCAGAAUUCAGUGAAUCAUCGAGUCUUUGAACGCACAUUGCGCCCCCUGGCAUUCCGGGGGGCAUGCCUGUCCGAGCGUCAUUGCUGCCCUUCAAGCCCGGCUUGUGUGUUGGGUCGUCGUCCCCUCCGGGGGACGGGCCCGAAAGGCAGCGGCGGCACCGCGUCCGGUCCUCGAGCGUAUGGGGCUUUGUCACCCGCUCGAUAAGCACCGGCCGGGCGCCAGCCGGCGUCUCCAACCUUUUUUUCUCAGGUUGACCUCGGAUCAGGUAGGGAUACCCGCUGAACUUAAGC
rnacentral:misc_RNA from 1 species